rnacentral:tRNA from 2 species
GCCCCCAUCGUCUAGUGGUU